GGACAGAACUCUGGAGAGCUUUAUAUUAAAAAGCACCGAAGAGGCAAAUCCUAAUCUUUAGGAAAACCCAUACAAAGUUUGCUUAAAGAGUUAUUUCCUAAUUACAUAGGAAGAAUCUUUUAGGUAAAAGGACAGAGUAAGAAAA
rnacentral:ncRNA from 1 species